UUAAUUUGACUCAACACGGGGAAACUUACCAGGUCCAGACAUAGUAAGGAUUGACAGACUGAGAGCUCUUUCUAUUUUUUUUUUGAUUGAAGAUGUAAAUAUAUAAAUCAAGACA
rnacentral:ncRNA from 1 species